GUGAUCACAGUAAGUUUCAGAAAUAAAUAAAUGCUGUAUUGAUUUGUGUUGUUGUUGACUGUUGACUUCCUUCUUUUUUUUUUUUUUGGUCCUGUUUUCCUUCACCGUCUCUCUCGAGCUUCAGUCCGAGGACAGUGGAUGAGCUUCAGCCUCGACCGCAGAGCUGCUGUGUGACUGUAUCUUUCACGACGUCCGGGGGCGGUUUGAGGCCAGCGACUGCAGCGUCGGUGCAGAGGAGGAGAAGGAGGAGGAGGUGCAGUGCGGGGGAGGCUGCGGAUUAGUCAUCUUUGGCACAGGUGGAAACUGUGGGGGCUGCAUCACCUGGGAUUCUUUUCAAGGCUUUUGCAAGAAAGAAAGAAAAGAAAAUAGUGCGGAGGGGACGAGAUGAAGACACCUGCAGUGUUCGCCCGAGGGGCUGCUACGACCAAAAUGGACAAUAUUCUCACCUGCAUUAGGAAGCUCCAUUAGGUUCCAUCCCCCUGAAUAUCCCGAGGCAAGGAACGAAACACGAUGUCAAAACAUAAUCGCCUGGUUUUCUUUCGACUCGGGCGCUGUUUGGAAAAGAGGUUGUGUGGGUAAAGAGUUAUGUACGGUGACACAAAGCACUGACACAGAUUAUAACAAUGGCGUAACAGAAAGGAGCACGGUGACAGAGCACUUGGACACAGUCGAGCUCUGAACUGGCCUGAUUGUUGGAGCAGCAGGUUUAUGAUUGGAGGGUUCUCAGAUAAAUCAGCUGGCGAGCAAGAUAAAAAAAAAAUAACACUGGUAAACAGACGGCAGUUCUGGACAAAAAGCACAGAUGAAAACAUUUGAACUUUCAGAAUCCAGCAUUUCUGCACUGUUCUUAAAGUGCAAACAAGUACAUGCAUGUGCGUUUUAUAUUGAAUUCAUAAUAUAUUUCUAGCCGUCAAUACAAUGCUCUCUACUAACAAUAUGUGUGUGUGUGUGUGUGUUAAUAUGACUAGUGUAAUAAUAUGACUAGUGUAAUAUGAAUGUGUAGUUGAGGUGUAAGUUGUGUGUGCAGUGUAUCAUAAAUGCAUCCAUCUCCAUCUUUAUGACCUGGCUAAGAGGAGGUUGAAG